UAUAUUCCUAUGUAAAGAUUUGAAUGCCCUAUUGUGGCCCCAUUUUAGCCCCAGGGGUCAUGACUUGAACAAACUUGAAUCUGAACAACAUGGGGAUGCUUGCAUAUUAAUUUGAGUAAUCAGCCUUUUUGUGCUCGAAAAGAAGAUUUUUAAAAGAAUUUUCCUAUAUAUUCCUAUGUAAAACACUGAACCCCCAUUGUGGCCCUACCUAUGAAUCAAGUGUCAUGACAAUGAUUCUAGAGAAGAAAAUUCUUUAAUAAUCCCUUUUCAUUAUUUCUUAAACUUCUCCCCUUGUAAAGGGACUUGGCCCUUCAUUUAAACAAUUUGAAUUCCCUUUACCCAAGAAUGCUUUGGGACAAGUUUGGUUGAAACUGGCCCAGUGGUUCUUGAGAAGAAGCUGAAAAUGUAAAAAGUUAGCAACAACACACAACAGACAGAUGCCAGACAAACUUUAAACAGAAAAGCUCACUUGAGCUUUCAGCUCAGUGAAGUCUACAUGCAAGUCGCAUUUUCCCUCUGCAAUUCUACGUGACUUGAUAAGUGAUUUUAAGGCGAUGGAUGGUAUGACAACACGGCACAACCUCAAAAUAUGAUGCAUUUCUACAGUGAGUGUAACGGAGACGAAGCUUUUGAUAUGAAUAUUUGUCAUCCAAUUUUCACAUUAAUUCAUUAUUGUGAUGUGACACAAUUGUUCUGUAAAAUUUACA